rnacentral:rRNA from 1 species
AUUGAACGCUGGCGGCAGGCCUAACACAUGCAAGUCGAGCGGAUGACGGGAGCUUGCUCCUUGAUUCAGCGGCGGACGGGUGAGUAAUGCCUAGGAAUCUGCCUGGUAGUGGGGGACAACGUUUCGAAAGGAACGCUAAUACCGCAUACGUCCUACGGGAGAAAGCAGGGGACCUUCGGGCCUUGCGCUAUCAGAUGAGCCUAGGUCGGAUUAGCUAGUUGGUGGGGUAAUGGCUCACCAAGGCGACGAUCCGUAACUGGUCUGAGAGGAUGAUCAGUCACACUGGAACUGAGACACGGUCCGGACUCCUACGGGAGGCAGCAGUGGGGAAUAUUGGACAAUGGGCGAAAGCCUGAUCCAGCCAUGCCGCGUGUGUGAAGAAGGUCUUCGGAUUGUAAAGCACUUUAAGUUGGGAGGAAGGGCAGUAAGCUAAUACCUUGCUGUUUUGACGUUACCGACAGAAUAAGCACCGGCUAACUCUGUGCCAGCCGCCGCCGUAA